rnacentral:lncRNA from 1 species
CCUCACAUUCGUUGUACUCAACGGGAUCCAUUUAGUUAAUUAUGUGAAUGAGUGUUAGUGUUAUGUUAGUUUGCAAUCUUCUAUAUAUUGAGCGAGAAAAAGAAAGAAAAUAUUUUUUAGAUUUUUUAUUAAUGUGACUGACAAGAUUUCAAAAUCAUGCUCCUAUGUAUCUCAAUGGAAAAUGGAGAACUCGAUGCUACGUAGUUCUCUGUAGAAAACUACGUAUUGGUUUAAUGUUUUUUAAGAGUGCCGCUUUAGGCAUUUCGAGCGGUUAAAC